GCCCCUGUAGAGUAAAAUUAGCUCGUUAGGUUUUCACCCUAAAGGUGCUCUUGGGCUAGGGGUA
rnacentral:tRNA from 1 species